ensembl:lncRNA
GGAAACUAGCGGGGCGGCACACCCCUCACCGCCCCUAUGAUAUCUACCAGGUGAUCUAAUUAGAACGAUAACUAGCUGGGACUGGAGGCAAGUAUCUAGGUGUUUUGGUUUGGCUGCAUGAUGAAGAGGGAAGGCCUGUUAGGAGAGGAGGCUAGAGCUAAGGCAGGCACCGGUCAAGCAGCGGAGCUGAUCAGCAGCACCAACAUCAUGUGCGAGCUUCUGAGAAAUGCAGCUUGUUGGGCCCUUCCUCGAAUCUACUGAAUCAGAAUGGGUGUUUUACAAAGAUCCUCACCUCAUUCAGAUGCACACUGAAGUUUGACCAUUGUUAUGUUACCUUAUUCAGACUUCACAACAUCCCGAUGGGGCUCUCAGCUCUGGGCCUCAGGCCUCAAGUCCACAGCAGAUGCCUGAUGCGAUCCCUCGCAGUACGUGCGCACUUACGUGUAAAGCGUCUUAGUGAAGAAAGGUGGCCCAGACUGUAUUCACUUGCAUUUCCUUCCUCAUCACAUCAGUGCACCACACACAUUUUGAGAAGGAAAUCAAUAAAAAAUGUUUUCCCAU